CCUACGGGCGGCAGCAGUGGGGAAUAUUGCGCAAUGGGCGAAAGCCUGACGCAGCGACGCCGCGUGAGGGAUGAAGGUCUUCGGAUCGUAAACCUCUGUUAGCAGGGAAGAACGGUCACUGUGCUAAUCAGCAGUGAAUUGACGGUACCUGCAAAGGAAGCACAGGCUAACUCCGUGUCAGCAGCCGCGGUAAUACGGAGGGUGCGAGCGUUAAUCGGAAUUAAUGGGGGUAAAGAGCUCGUAGGCGGUAUGUCAAGUCAAGGGUGAAAUCCCCGCGCUGAACGUGGGAACUGCCUUUGAAACUGGCAAACUUGAGUGUUGGAGAGGAUAGUGGAAUUCCAGGUGUAGGAGUGAAAUCCGUAGAUAUCUGGAGGAACAUCAGUGGCGAAGGCGACUAUCUGGCACAUAACUGACGCUGAGGAGCGAAAGCGUGGGUAGCAAACAGGAUUAGAUACCCGGGUAGUA
rnacentral:rRNA from 1 species